GAUGAAGAACGUAGCGAAAUGCGAUAAGUAAUGUGAAUUGCAGAAUUCAGUGAAUCAUCGAAUCUUUGAACGCACAUUGCGCCCCUUGGUAUUCCGAGGGGCAUGCCUGUUCGAGCGUCAUUAUAACCCCUCAAGCUCAGCUUGGUGUUGGGGCCUGCCGCACGGGCAGCCCUUAAAAUCAGUGGCGGUGCCAUCUGGCUCUAAGCGUAGUAAUUCUUCUCGCUAUAGAGUCCCGGUGGAUGCUUGCCAUUAACCCCCAAUUUUCUAUGGUUGACCUCGGAUCAGGUAGGGAUACCCGCUGAACUUAAGCAUAUCAAUAAGCGGAGG
rnacentral:misc_RNA from 1 species